GGCCGAGCCGCUGUUCGAGCAGGUCAGAAUCUUGCUGUACUUUGCUGUCUCAGAAUACACUUCAGUGAGAAGAAGAAUCAGGUCACUGUGCAUACAAAGAAUGCAAACUACUAACUGCAUGUAGGUGUAUGCAUGUGAUUCUGUACAGAAAUGCAACCAACGAAUAGCAUUCAAAGAAACCCCGAUUAACUGCAGUUUAUUCAGUUUUUUCAUUUGUCCUUAUGUUUUCUUAUUGUCUAUAAUUAUAGACUGUAAAAUUAGAGGAGGAAAGAAAAAGCACCUUGGGAUGCUAAAGAGUUAAUUACUUUAACAACAUAUAUAUACACACAAUUCACACACCAAAUCACCUAAGAUGUGAUAAAGUGUGGCUGACCCAAAAAUAUGCUGCUGCUCUUAGUAUGCAGCACAGAGUGCAAGAGCGAACUGCAGACAAGAAUAUGGAUAGUUUUGGUUUAGCUCCUAGCUUUCACACACCUAAUUCAGCACGACAUAAGAAUCCACCCUAGAUAAGUCUUUAAAACAUUAUUGAACAUGGUCAACAUGCCUUUAUAUUCUUGAUCCAAAUCCUUUUGAGCUGACAACGUUUCAUUUCAAUGUAACAUAAAAAUGCCAGUCCUUCCAUUCAUCUACCAUGCAAAGAAAAAGUACACGAUAUAACCACAGGUGAUUUUUUUCACCUGUGAGAGCACAGGGGGGACACAGUUCUGAGAAAUACUGGUCCAAGGAGAGAAACAGUUGCUGAUCAUCUUUUUGUCACUCUGAAAAGAAAUCUCUGCUACCAACUUCAAAAAGGGAUGGCUGGGACUCAUAGCAUUUGGCAGCAGAAGUCUGUGCAGAAAUUUAGCUGUUGGAACAGUUCCCGUGUGUGUAUUUUUAAGACUGAGUAACCCACAUUCAGUAUAUUGACUAAGUGGAAUGCAGGUCCCAUUUCAGCUCAACUCCCAGCCAUCUUUUAGUGAGAUUGGCAAAAGAGACUAUCAUCGUAGGAGAUAGAGUUACCCCAGCUGGCUUUGCAUGGUGUAGAAUUCAGUCAAAUUUAGCAUCUUCUCACCUUUAGAAGUUCAGACUAUAAAAAUCACUAUACAUUAAUAGCAGAGAGCCUUGUUCUGUUUCUGCCCUCAUCUGUCAGUGAGUAUCUGUGAGUAAUGCUUUCAGGACAAUCAAGCAGUUCACUAUUUUCCUUAAAUUCACUCAUACAACACUAAAAGCAUUUGAACACUGUAGUGCUGCUUGAGAGGUCUUGUAGGAUAUUAUUUCUCAAGAACCAGACUUACAGAGAAUUAAGUUUUAAUGCUACCAAAGAACAACUGCAAGCUGGCUUUUUUUUUUUUUUUUACUAAAUCUUUUUCAGCAAGUCAUGUGGUAGCUUCCCAGUAAGAAGGAAACUGCAUUUCAAGAUGUUUACUGUACUUCCGUGUUUUCUUUGCCUUUUAUUCUGUCUGCUGAAGACUGACUGGAGCAACACACACACACACACAAAACUCAAGCUAAAAAACAAUGCUGUAAUUAAGUAUUCUGAGAACAUGCUGUUUCCUUGUUCAAGGCUUAUAAUUAAGUUAAAUGAUGUCUCAUUUUCAUGUCCCAGUUUUAGGGUUUGUUUUUUGUUUGAGGGUAUUUUUAAACAAAUGACAUUUUUACUGUUUAAAGAUACUAGAGUCUUAAAGGCUGUGGUUUUAUCUUUUAAAACUUUAAGACGCAAAGCAAAAUCUUUUGUGUGCCCUUCUUUUACUGUGUACCAUGUUCAAUUUUUUCUGAAAUGCCAUAAAUUUAGGAGGUUACUACAAUUCUUACUUUACGAUACUGCAAGCGGAUAUUCUUUGUCAACUAAGACAAAAAGCUGAAGGCAAAACCAUGCCUUCAGCUCCAUUAGAAUAAAUUCAGAGUAGUUCCAUUGAAGCUGCCCAAAUUCUGCCGCGUUGAUUCAGAAGUCUUUUGUUUCUGAUUGCUAUGCAAUCCCUAUCAUCCUGACAGGCUGCUGCUGCUUUCUCUUUCAAAUUCAUGUUCAAUGAGUUCAUGCAAAGGUUCUAAACAAACACGUUCUCACAGAUUUGGCUGCAGUACUUUAAGAUAUUACUGCCCCCACCUGUCCACCCUGUACCAUUCUUCUGCUGGAGGUUGCCACCCCUGAAGCAAAACAGAACUUGUGUUCACACCAGUCCAUAUCGGGGCUUGCCGUCUCUUUUGGUAACCGUACACACCACUGCGGAUACCACUGCCCACAGACCAUUCGUCAAAGAUGUAAAACAACUGAAUAAUUAUCUACUUUGGGGAGUUUCACAUAGAUGCAGCAAUAUCGACGCAGACAUGUUGGAUAAAUACAGGCGUAAAACUGGAUUGGUGUUUGCCUGACUG